GGCUUAGAGUUUGAUCAUGGCUCAGGACGAACGCUGGCGGCGUGCUUAACACAUGCAAGUCGAACGGGGUGUUUAUUUCGGUAAACACCAAGUGGCGAACGGGUGAGUAACGCGUAAGCAAUCUACCUUCAAGAUGGGGACAACACUUCGAAAGGGGUGCUAAUACCGAAUGAAUGUAAGAGUAUCGCAUGAGACACUUACUAAAGGAGGCCUCUGAAAAUGCUUCCGCUUGAAGAUGAGCUUGCGUCUGAUUAGCUAGUUGGUGAGGGUAAAGGCCCACCAAGGCGACGAUCAGUAGCCGGUCUGAGAGGAUGAACGGCCACAUUGGGACUGAGACACGGCCCAGACUCCUACGGGAGGCAGCAGUGGGGAAUCUUCCGCAGUGGGCGAAAGCCUGACGGAGCAACGCCGCGUGAACGAUGAAGGUCUUAGGAUCGUAAAGUUCUGUUGUUAGGGACGAAGGGUAAGAAUCAUAAUAAGGUUUUUAUUUGACGGUACCUAACGAGGAAGCCACGGCUAACUACGUGCCAGCAGCCGCGGUAAUACGUAGGCGGCAAGCGUUGUCCGGAAUUAUUGGGCGUAAAGGGAGCGCAGGCGGGAAACUAAGCGGAUCUUAAAAGUGCGGGGCUCAACCCCGUGAGGGGGUCCGAACUGGUUUUCUUGAGUGCAGGAGAGGAAAGCGGAAUUUCUCAGUGUAGCGGUGAAAUGCGUAGAUAUUGGGAAGAACACCAGUGGCGAAGCGGCUUUCUGGACUGUAACUGACGCUGAGCUCGAAAGCUAGGGUAGCGAACGGGAUUAGAUACUCUCGGUAGUCCUAGCGUAAACGAUGGAUACUAGUGCGGAGUAUCGACUCCUUCGUGCNNAGU
rnacentral:rRNA from 1 species